GACGAACGCUGGCGGCGUGCUUAACACAUGCAAGUCGAGCGCUGAAGCUCAGCUUUUGUUGGGUGGAUGAGUGGCGAACGGGUGAGUAACACGUGAGUAACCUGCCCCCUUCUUUGGGAUAACGCCCGGAAACGGGUGCUAAUACUGGAUAUUCACUGGUCUUCGCAUGGGGGUUGGUGGAAAGGGUUUUUCUGGUGGGGGAUGGGCUCGCGGCCUAUCAGCUUGUUGGUGGGGUGAUGGCCUACCAAGGCUUUGACGGGUAGCCGGCCUGAGAGGGUGACCGGUCACAUUGGGACUGAGAUACGGCCCAGACUCCUACGGGAGGCAGCAGUGGGGAAUAUUGCACAAUGGGCGCAAGCCUGAUGCAGCGACGCCGCGUGAGGGAUGGAGGCCUUCGGGUUGUGAACCUCUUUCGCUCAUGGUCAAGCCGCAACAAUGGUUGUGGUGAGGGUAGUGGGUAAAGAAGCGCCGGCUAACUACGUG
rnacentral:rRNA from 1 species